rfam:Lactobacillus equigenerosi DSM 18793 = JCM 14505 strain DSM 18793 NODE_152, whole genome shotgun sequence.
GGAGAGUUGUCCGAGCUGGCCGAAGGAGCAGCAUUGGAAAUGCUGUAUACGGGUUAAAGCCUGUAUCAAGGGUUCGAAUCCCUUACUCUCCA